rnacentral:rRNA from 1 species
UACGGAGGGAGCUAGCGUUGUUCGGAAUUACUGGGCGUAAAGCGCGCGUAGGCGGCUUUGUAAGUUAGAGGUGAAAGCCCGGGGCUCAACCCCGGAACUGCCUUUAAAACUGCAUCGCUUGAAUCCGGGAGAGGUGAGUGGAAUUCCGAGUGUAGAGGUGAAAUUCGUAGAUAUUCGGAAGAACACCAGUGGCGAAGGCGGCUCACUGGACCGGUAUUGACGCUGAGG